rnacentral:rRNA from 1 species
UACGAGGGGGGCGAGCGUUGUUCGGAAUUAUUGGGCGUAAAGGGUGCGUAGGCGGUUUGGUAAGUCUUAUGUGAAAUCUAUGGGCUCAACUCAUAGUCUGCAUGAGAAACUGCCGGGCUUGAGUAUGGGAGAGGUGAGUGGAAUUCCUGGUGUAGCGGUGAAAUGCGUAGAUAUCAGGAGGAACACCUGUGGCGAAAGCGGCUCACUGGACCACAACUGACGCUGAUGCACGAAAGCUAGGGGAGCAAACAGG